UACAGCUCCCCAACCUCCACCAGGCCAGGAUGGCAGCAGCCCUGGCCCCCUCACCUCUGGAACCAAGCCAUCUACACUCUACCCCAUCUUUCCCCAACCUGACCCUCCCCACUCCCAACCAGGACCCACGGUGGGUUGCAGAGAAGCUGCCAAAAGCCUGGGACUUGGAUUAGACAGCUCCCUACCCAGAAAGGCAAAGACCCAUCCCACACUUGCUUCCAUACACAAAAGCACACACUGCGUGGCAUCGAAAAAACCUAGGAAUCACAGUGAAACAAUCCAGAAGCCGUACCGCCCUCUGCUCCCUAUGCAGGGGUUAAAGUGCUUUGGCUGCCUGAGGGCAAACAAGUGAGCAGGGGUUUUUCCCCUGGCCUCCUGUCGCAACUGCGUGGUCCAUGUUCAGCCCAGGAGCCCAGCCCAUUCCAUGACC
rnacentral:lncRNA from 1 species